GAUGAACGCUGGCGGCGUGCCUAAUACAUGCAAGUAGAACGCUGAAGGAGGAGCUUGCUCUUCUGGAUGAGUUGCGAACGGGUGAGUAACGCGUAGGUAACCUGCCUGGUAGCGGGGGAUAACUAUUGGAAACGAUAGCUAAUACCGCAUGACAACAGUUAUUGCAUGAUAACUGUUUAAAAGGGGCAACUGCUCCACUACCAGAUGGACCUGCGUUGUAUUAGCUAGUUGGUGAGGUAACGGCUCACCAAGGCGACGAUACAUAGCCGACCUGAGAGGGUGAGCGGCCACACUGGGACUGAGACACGGCCCAGACUCCUACGGGAGGCAGCAGUAGGGAAUCUUCGGGAAUAGACGGAAGUCUGACCGAGCAACGCCGCGUGAGUGAAGAAGGUUUUCGGAUCGUAAAGCUCUGUUGUAAGAGAAGAACGAGUGUGAGAGUGGAAAGUUCACACUGUGACGGUAUCUUACCAGAAAGGGACGGCUAACUACGUG
rnacentral:rRNA from 1 species